rnacentral:rRNA from 1 species
GUAAUUAGUGGAUUUUCUCGAUAUAAAAUGGGCAAUGAGUUUAUUUAUUUUAAUGUUAAAAAAUUAUUUUGAAUAAAUUUAUUGAAAUGAAACGUUAUUCGUAUUUUAUUAUAUCUAGUUUUUUAAGAAAUAAAUUGAAUUUACUUGUUAAUUAUGAUUUACUUGAUUUAUUGGGUAGGUAAAGGUUAAUAGGGUAUAUUAUCAGGGAUAAGCUUGAUAAUAAAGGUUUAGUAAAUGUAUAUUAAAUAUUUAGUGGGGAUAAAAGUUUCUUUCUAUAAAUAGUGUGUUAUUACAAAAUGUUAUAUUAAUAAAAUUUAUAUAAGUAUUAAAUUUUUAUUAGGAUAUUAAGAUUAAUUAAAUAUUUUAAGUAAUAAUGAUUAAAUUAGUAUAGUGGUGUAAUAUAGGAUAUAUAGAAAUUAGAUAGGUGAGAUAAAAGAAUUCGGCAAAUAAGUUUUCGCCUGUUUAUUAAAAACAUGGUUUUUUGAUAAUGAUUUAAGAUUUGGCCUGCCCAAUGAGGGGUUUAAUGGCUGCAGUAUUUUGACUGUACAAAGGUAGCAUAAUAAUUAGUUUCUUAAUUGGGGACUGGAAUGAAGGGUUGGACGAGAAAUUUACUGUUUCUAUUUUAUUUUAUUAGAAUUUUAUUUUUAAGUAAAAAAGCUUAUAUAAAAUUAAAAGACGAGAAGACCCUAUAGAACUUUAUAAUUUUAUACUAUAAUUUAUUGAUGAAAUUUAUAGUUAUAUUAGUGAGUUAUUUUGUUGGGGCGAUGGAAAAAUUUUAUAAACUUUUUUAUUAUUAUUAUAUUAAUGGAUAAUUAUUUGAUCCAAUAGUGUUGAUUAUUAGAUUAAGUUACCUUAGGGAUAACAGCGUAAUCUCUUUAGAUAGUUCAUAUUGGAAAGGGGGGUUGCGACCUCGAUGUUGGAUUAAAUUGAAUUAUGGAUGUAGGAGUUCAUAAAUUUGGUCUGUUCGA